UACAGAGGGGGCAAGCGUUUAUUCGGAAUUACUGGGCGUAAAGAGCGCGCAGGCGGUCGUAUAAGUCGAAUGUGAAAGCCCCUGGCUCAACUAGGGAGAGUCAUUCGAUACUGUUCGACUCGAAGGCAGGAGAGGGAAGUGGAAUUCCGGGUGUAGUGGUGAAAUGCGUAGAUAUCCGGAGGAACACCAGUGGCGAAGGCGACUUUCUGGCCUGUUCUUGACGCUGAGGCGCGAAAGCUAGGGGAGCAAACGGG
rnacentral:rRNA from 1 species